rnacentral:rRNA from 1 species
GAACGACGUCGAACGUUAUUCGGAAUCACUGGCUUAAAGGGCGCGUAGGCGGGUUGCCAAGUCUGUGGUGAAAUCCUCCAGCUUAACUGGAGAACGGCCGUGGAUACUGGCGACCUCGAGGGGGGUAGGGGCUUGCGGAACUGUGCGUGGAGCGGUGAAAUGCGUUGAUAUGCACAGGAACUCCGGUGGCGAAGGCGGCGAGCUGGACCCUUUCUGACGCUGAGGCGCGAAAGCCAGGGGAGCGAACGGG